rnacentral:tRNA from 1 species
GGAAGGUGGCUCAGUGGUAGAGUGCUUGCCUUGCAUGCAUGAAGCCCUGGGUUCGAUUCCUGAUCAUCACA